rnacentral:rRNA from 1 species
AUAUCAGUCAUGCAUAGCAUAUCAAUAAGCGGAGGAAAAGAAACUAACAAGGAUUCCCUUAGUAACGGCGAGUGAAGCGGGAAGAGCUCAAAUUUGAAAUCUUCAAGGUUUUACCUUGACGAAUUGUAGUUUAAAGAAGUGUUUUCUGUUGAAGCUUUGGUAAAAGUUCUUUGGAAUAGGACAUCAUAGAGGGUGAGAAUCCCGUAUUUGACCAUUACUUUCAGCUUUGUGAUACACUUUCAAAGAGUCGGAUUGUUUGGGAAUGCAGUCCAAAAUGGGUGGUAAAUUUCAUCUAAAGCUAAAUAUUGGCGAGAGACCGAUAGCGAACAAGUACCGUGAGGGAAAGAUGAAAAGAACUUUGAAAAGAGAGUUAAACAGUACGUGAAAUUGUCAAAAGGGAAGCGUUUGACACCAGUGUUGUUUUCUCGAAAUCAAUUAAAAAGAGUUGGAUUUUGUGUUGUAUUGACUUUAUCAGCUUUCUUCACUCUUUUCCAGCUUUUUUUAAUGCACUUUUCGUUUAACAAGUCAACAUCAGUUUCUUUUGUUGUAAAAAGGUCAUUGGAAGGUGGCUUUCUCUUCGGAGAAAGUGUUUAUAGCCUUUGACUCAUGCAAUCGGAGAGACUGAGGUCUGCAGCGUAGAUCCUUCGGGGUUAGAUACAUUUGUGCUAAGUUAUAGCUUUUCAUAGACAACUUGUUGACUAUGUUUAGUCUUGUAGCUUACUCGCUUAUGCUAUUUUACCUACGCUUAGGAUGUUGAACUCUAUCACACACAG